rnacentral:lncRNA from 1 species
CACUGCAUAUUGCUUCCGUCUCACUGAAAUACCACAGGACUGCUCGUUCUGCUCCCUUCUGCACACUGAGGGGCACCGACCAUGCCGCUAGCUCCCCAUUCUUGCAUUUCUUGCCAGUUUCUCAUUUUUUGCCUUUCUUGCCUCAAACUGCAAAGAGGGAACUGGGGGGUGGCUGUGGGCUGGCCCAGGUGCUGGCUGUUACCAGCUAGCCCUGUCUGCCUCCUGUGUGGGCCUGGGCAAGGCUAUUAAUGCCUAUGGGCAGGGCAGGCUGCUCCCUGAAGGCUGUGCAGCAGAAGCAACAGGGCAGGCUCCAGCCCCUGGUCCUUCUGCCCCCAGAGAAAGGUGCUUUCAGCUGCAGAGACCCAGUUCAAAACCAUGCUGCACGGAAGCUGUUAAACUUUGAGAGCUUCUUGCAAAUUCCCAUAAAAUGAGGAGAGAAGGCAAUUCAUCCCGUGGCGAGGCUGGAACUGUUCCUGACUGCAUGACGCUGCUCAAAGAAGCAGUGGGUCCUGCAUCACUGCCAGCCUGAGCCCAGCAAUGUGCUGUCACGAUGAGAUGUCUUGCAGCAGCCCUUGUGUUUCCCUGCCUUUGUGGUGUUUUGGCUCCUCAUCUGAACUGGUAUAAAGUCUCCUGUUGGUCCUCGCUGGCCUCUUGGCACCUGUGGAUGCACGGCAGUGAUUAUGUUCCCUGAUGCUGGAGCGAUACUGGGGCAACCCAGCGUACAGUGCUGGCUGGAAGGAGCAAUGCGGAGCACCAAGGAGAGGUUUUCCAGCCCUCGGACCUGCCCCCAUCACCCCAGUUCUUGCAGUGAAGCACGUGCAGAUGGGCAGGCUGUCUGGGGCUGGCAGGUGUGCUGACAUGUCCCAAAGGGACACCGUGCCAAGCUGGGUGCCGGCCACAUCGGGAAGCAGCAGGAGGUUAACAGGAGGCACAAUUGCCCCGCUUGUUUCUCCCUCCCAGUGGAGCUGCAGUGACUGAAUCGUCGCACAUCCAGCUCCGUUGUGUGAAUGUCUCUGCUCUUGUCCUUCCUAACCCUGACUUGUUGAUCGCAGAUCGGCAGUAAGUACUGCUGGAAGUGCUUCGUGCUGAAACCGUUGCUGUUUCCACUUAUUUUACACUUGAUUAUAGAUGAUGUAAAAAAAAAAAAAAAAAAAUCAACAACAGAACUAUACAUCUGUGACUUGUCAGAACUCUUUGUCACAUCUCUGAGUGCCAAUAAACAUGAAGUCUGCAUCCA